GCUGGGUGUGGUGGCACAUGUCUGUAAUCCCAGUGACUCAGGAGGCUGAGGCAGGAGUAUUACAAGUUCAAGGCCAGCCUCAGCAAUUUAGCAAGGCCCUAAGAAGCUUAGUGAGACCUUGUCUCAA
rnacentral:sRNA from 1 species